AGGCAUCAUGGCCGAGGGGCUAGGCAGAGGUCUGCAAAACCUUCUACAGCGGUUCGAAUCCGCUUGAUGCCUCAAU
rnacentral:tRNA from 1 species